rnacentral:rRNA from 1 species
ACUGGGCGUAAAGCGCGCGUAGGCGGAUUGGAAAGUUGGGGGUGAAAUCCCGGGGCUCAACCCCGGAACUGCCUUCAAAACUCCCAGUCUAGAGUUCGAGAGAGGUGAGUGGAAUUCCGAGUGUAGAGGUGAAAUUCGUAGAUAUUCGGAAGAACACCAGUGGCGAAGGCGGCUCACUGGCUCGAUACUGACGCUGAGGUGCGAAAGUGUGGGGAGCAAACA